rnacentral:rRNA from 1 species
ACUGGAAUUCACGGUGUAGCAGUGAAAUGCGUAGAUAUCGUGAGGAAGACCAGUGGCGAAGGCGGGUCUCUGGACAGUUCCUGACACUGAGGCACGAAGGCCAGGGGAGCAAACGGGAUUAGAUACCCCGGUAGUCCUGGCAGUAAACGGUGCACGUUUGGUGUGGGAGGAUUCGACCCCUUCUGCGCCGGAGCUAACGCGUUAAACGUGCCGCCUGGGGAGUACGGUCGCAAGAUUAAAACUCAAAGAAAUUGACGGGGGCCCGCACAAGCGGUGGAGUAUGUGGCUUAAUUCGAUGCAACGCGAAGAACCUUACCUGGCCUCGACAUGCAUCUCUAAGUUGGUGAAAGCCAGCGAGUCCCGAAAGGGACAAUUUGCACAGGUGCUGCAUGGCUGUCGUCAGCUCGUGUCGUGAGAUGUUGGGUUAAGUCCCGCAACGAGCGCAACCCCUGUGAACUGUUGCCACCAGGCCGUGAGGCCUGAGCACUCUGUUCAGACUGCCCUGUGAAACGGGGAGGAAGGUGGGGACGACGUCAAGUCAGUAUGGCCCUUACGGCCAGGGCUGCACACGUACUACAAUGCCCAGUACAGAACGAUCCGAGACCGCGAGGUGGAGGAAAUCUAUCAAAACUGGGCCCAGUUCGGAUUGGAGGCUGCAACUCGCCUCCAUGAAGCCGGAAUCGCUAGUAAUGGCGCAUCAGCUACGGCGCCGUGAAUACGUUCCCGGGCCUUGUACGCACCGCCCGUCACAUCAUGGAAGUCACUUGUAGCCGAAGUCGGCGCGCUAACC